rnacentral:rRNA from 1 species
AGCGAACGCUGGCGGCAGGCUUAACACAUGCAAGUCGAGCGCCCCGCAAGGGGAGCGGCAGACGGGAGAGUAACACGUGGGAACGUACCUUUCAGUUCGGAACAACCAAGGGAAACUUUGGCUAAUACCGGAUACGCCCGUAAGGGGAAAGAUUUAUCGCUGAGAGAUCGGCCCGCGUCUGAUUAGCUAGUUGGUGGGGUAAUGGCCCACCAAGGCGACGAUCAGUAGCCGGUCUGAGAGGAUGAUCAGCCUCACUGGGACUGAGACACGGCCCAGACUCCUACGGGAGGCAGCAGUGGGGAAUAUUGGACAAUGGGCGCAAGCCUGAUCCAGCCAUGCCGCGUGGAUGAUGAAGGCCUUAGGGUUGUAAAGUCCUUUUAACGGGGAAGAUAAUGACGGUACCCGUAGAAUAAGCCCCGGCUAACUUCGUGCCAGCCGCCGCAGUAAUAC